AUACGGAGGAUGCAAGCGUUAUCCGGAUUUAUUGGGUUUAAAGGGUGCGUAGGCGGUUUGCUAAGCGGGAGGUGAAAUGCCGGCGCUCAACGUCGGAAGUGCCUCCCGAACUGGUGGACUUGAAUGACUCUGCCGUGGGAGGAAUGUGUAGUGUAGCGGUGAAAUGCUUAGAGAUUACACAGAACACCGAUUGCGAAGGCAUCUCACGAAGGGUUGAUUGACGCUGAGGCACUAAAGCGUGGGGAUCAAACAGGAUUAGAUACCCUGGUAGUCCACGCAGUAAACGAUGGGCGCUCGUCGUCGGCGACAGACAGUCGGCGGCCAAGCGAAAGCGAUAAGCGCCCCACCUGGGGAGUACGGUCGCAAGGCUGAAACUUAAAUGAAUUGGCGGGG
rnacentral:rRNA from 1 species